UCUCUUCCUUUUGACAUUGAAAUCAACGUCUAAAUUUACUGAAUAACAUUACCUCAUAUGUUGCCUUUCCAGAUGAUUGUCAUGGAGUGCCAAUCGGUCCAAGGGUAACUCAGCUGAAAUCAUGCUGCUAAUAACAAGGUCACUGUGAAUUUGUUAUAAUUAGGCACAAUCUUAUUGGCUCUACAUUGUACCAUGGGGUCUGUACAAAGCUGUUAACUACAUUAAAGAGACUUGUGGAAAUCCUACCAUGAUUUUGGCUGAGAAUUGUACAUUAUGAAUGGAUGAUCUGGGAAAGUGUUGCAUGUUCUAAGGAUUUACAUGAGACCACAAGGAUCAACUACUAAAAGAGCUAUUUAGCAGAAUUGAAGAAACAAGCAAUGAUGGAGCCAAUGUGAUCAGCUACUUCCAGUGGACAUUGCUUUCUAAUUUUGAAAAGAGACUCAGGUACACAUCAAGGUCCGUCAUUGUCUAUAUUGAUUUCAAAACCCUCAAGAGAUACCCAAAGAUGUCCACCUACUGGUUCCGACGGCUGCUAUACCGAAGCCAGCAUUAAGCAAAAGAAUGGUUCUCUCUAUCUUUCAAUAUUGCCAUCUGCCGUCUUUCCAUUCGAAUUUAAAGCUGCCACAUGAAUUUCACUGGAAAGCACGAGGAACAAAAUUUGACUUGUUUUUAUUCAUUAAUAUUGUCCCGUCUACCUUACAUAACAUGGUGUGUUCUCGGUGUAUGACAUUAGUAACCCCUAAAUAUUUAUCGUAAAAGCUCAUUAUUAACACAAA